AUUGAACGCUGGCGGCAGGCCUAACACAUGCAAGUCGGACGGUAGCACAGAGGAGCUUGCUCCUCGGGUGACGAGUGGCGGACGGGUGAGUAAUGUCUGGGGAUCUGCCCGAUAGAGGGGGAUAACCACUGGAAACGGUGGCUAAUACCGCAUAACGUCGCAAGAACAAAGAGGGGGACCUUCGGGCCUCCCACCAUCGGAUGAACCCAGAUGGGAUUAGCUAGUAGGCGGGGUAACGGCCCACCUAGGCGACGAUCCCUAGCUGGUCUGAGAGGAUGACCAGCCACACUGGAACUGAGACACGGUCCAGACUCCUACGGGAGGCAGCAGUGGGGAAUAUUGCACAAUGGGCGCAAGCCUGAUGCAGCCAUGCCGCGUGUAUGAAGAAGGCCUUCGGGUUGUAAAGUACUUUCAGCGGGGAGGAAGGCGAUAAGGUUAAUAACCUUGUCGAUUGACGUUACCCGCAGAAGAAGCACCGGCUAACUCCGUGCCAGCCGCCGCGGUAA
rnacentral:rRNA from 1 species